ensembl:lncRNA
CAAACAAUCACUUAAGAAUGCGAAUAAAAAAACAUAUUUACAGUGCGCAGGUGAACCGGAAACCUAGUGAAAGGUAACAAUGUGAGGCACAGCUGGUCAGAAAGCCGUGUGCUGAGAGCCGGCUCCAGGGCUGCAAUACACUGAGGCCUCUCCACUCGUUGUGCACAAGAUCUGCUGUUCUCUUUCACUGUUGAUGGCACACCUCUGGAAAAGCAGCCGUCGCAUCCGUAUGGACACCCUGAAGCACUGGAAUGGGACUGGAGGGACUUGUGAAGAAGACUAAAGGAUGCCUACCCAUCCCGUCUGUAGCUGUACUAACUAUUGGGACUCCUGAAUAAACCAGUAAACCAGGCUGUCGUCUUGGGAAACAGUGGAUGUAAAGAAUCUAGAAGCUAAAGCAUUUACUGCAAAUUAAAUGUACAUUUUGUCACGACUUCUAUUGAAGGCGAUGCCACUCCUUGUUCGGGCGGUGCUCGGCGGUCAACGUCACCGGUCUUCUAGCCAUCAUUGGUCCAUUUUUCAUUUUCCAUUGGUUUUGUCUUGUCUUCCUACACACCUGGUUUCAAUCCCAUUCGUUACCUGUUGUGUAUUUAACCCCUGUUUCCCCUCAUGUCUUAGUCAGAGAUAGUUUGUUGUUCAGUAUUCGUGUUGUUUGUAUUGGUGCGCGACGGGUGCUCGUACCCACUUUGUUUUAUUGUAUUCAUGGUUUUGGAGUUAUGUUUUUUUUCAAGUUAUUAAACAACUCCAUUCUACUAA